GACGAACGCUGGCGGCGUGCUUAACACAUGCAAGUCGAACGAUGAAGCUGGAGCUUGCUCCGGUGGAUUAGUGGCGAACGGGUGAGUAACACGUGAGCAAUCUGCCCUUGACUCUGGGAUAACUGCGGGAAACUGUAGCUAAUACCGGAUACUUUCACUGGAAGGCAUCUUCUGGUGAAGAAAGAAUUUCGGUCAAGGAUGAGCUCGCGGCCUAUCAGCUUGUUGGUGAGGUAACGGCUCACCAAGGCGACGACGGGUAGCCGGCCUGAGAGGGUGAGCGGCCAAACUGGGACUGAGACACGGCCCAGACUCCUACGGGAGGCAGCAGUGGGGAAUAUUGCACAAUGGGCGCAAGCCUGAUGCAGCAACGCCGCGUGAGGGAUGAAGGCCUUCGGGUUGUAAACCUCUUUUAGCAGGGAAGAAGCGAAAGUGACGGUACCUGCAGAAAAAGCACCGGCUAACUACGUGCCAGCCGCCGCGGUAA
rnacentral:rRNA from 1 species